GCGAGGUGACCAACACGGAGUUGGAAGCACGGACAAUGCAUCAAUCACCUCCAACACUUGGCUCAACUCCUAGCAUUGAGGAGUAUGCCAGUGAGGUGAGAGCACUGAAACUCGCUCGGUCACCUCCUACACUUGACUCAACUCACAGGUCCAUGGAAUGUGCUUAUGACACUACCAACAGGGACACUGGCUCUGAAAUUGUUGGGGAGAAGCCCAAAAGUAAAUCAGUUCCUUGGUACGUAUGAUUAUUUUGCU